rnacentral:ncRNA from 19 species
AUCAUGAUUCUUUUUAACGUGCAAUCUAUAUUUGGAGGAAUACUGGUGAAAGUCCAGUGCUGGCCCGCAACCGUAAUGUUUGAAUUCUUCGAUUGUAUAAGAAUUCUCUAAGUCGGAUACUCCUCUUUUAAGAAACACUCUCG